CGAGCACGCGCGUGUGGCAUAUCAAUAAGCGGAGGAAAAGAAACUAACAAGGAUUCCCUUAGUAACGGCGAGUGAAGCGGGAAGAGCUCAAACUUGAAAUCUUCAAGGUUCUACCUUGACGAAUUGUAGUUUAAAGAAGUGUUUUCUGUUAGAUGAGUAGCAAAAGUUCCUUGGAAUGGGACAUCAUAGAGGGUGAGAAUCCCGUAUUUGGUUAUUCAUUCUAGCUUUGUGAUACACUUUCAAAGAGUCGGAUUGUUUGGGAAUGCAGUCCAAAAUGGGUGGUAAAUUUCAUCUAAAGCUAAAUAUUGGCGAGAGACCGAUAGCGAACAAGUACCGUGAGGGAAAGAUGAAAAGAACUUUGAAAAGAGAGUUAAACAGUACGUGAAAUUGUCAAAAGGGAAGCGUUUGACACCAGUGUUGUUUUUCCGAAAAUCAAUUACGAAUGGCUUGAUUUUGUGUUGUAUUGACCUUAUCAGCUUUCUGCACUUUUUUCGAGUCUUUCUUAAUGCACUUUUCGGUUAACAAGUCAACAUCAAUUUCUUUUGUUGUAAAAGAGUAUUCGGAAGGUGGCUUUCUUUUCGGAGAAAGUGUUUAUAGCCCUAUACUUCUACAAUCGGAGAGAUUGAGGUCUGCAGCGUAGAUCCUUCGGGGUUAGAUACAUUUGUGCUAAGUUGUAGCUUUUCAUAGACAACUUGUUGACUAUGUUUAGUCAUUGUAGGCUUACUCGCUUAUCGCUAUUUUACCUACGCUUAGGAUGUUGAGUAGCGACAUACGCAC
rnacentral:rRNA from 1 species